UUCCUUAUCACAGUCUCUCUUUCAAAACAAAAUCCUUCAAAUGUGUUGGUAAUCGGCGCAAACGCUGAGAUCUUCGAACUUCGGUGUGUCCAGAACUGUUACUAUCUUGUUCAUUUGAUGGAGAUGGAGGAAUUGUGGUACCCUGGGUGCCAGAGCCUCUUCGGAUAGAAGUGAGGAUACGACGAGGAGGCUCUGGUCACACGAGUAUCCAGCCUCACU